GGUGAACCUGCGGAGGGAUCAUUACCGAGUUUACAACUCCCAAACCCCUGUGAACAUACCUUAAUGUUGCCUCGGCGGAUCAGCCCGCGCCCCGUAAAACGGGACGGCCCGCCAGAGGACCCAAACUCUAAUGUUUCUUAUUGUAACUUCUGAGUAAAACAAACAAAUAAAUCAAAACUUUCAACAACGGAUCUCUUGGUUCUGGCAUCGAUGAAGAACGCAGCAAAAUGCGAUAAGUAAUGUGAAUUGCAGAAUUCAGUGAAUCAUCGAAUCUUUGAACGCACAUUGCGCCCGCUGGUAUUCCGGCGGGCAUGCCUGUUCGAGCGUCAUUUCAACCCUCAAGCCCCCGGGUUUGGUGUUGGGGAUCGGCUCUGCCUUCUGGCGGUGCCGCCCCCGAAAUACAUUGGCGGUCUCGCUGCAGCCUCCAUUGCGUAGUAGCUAACACCUCGCAACUGGAACGCGGCGCGGCCAUGCCGUAAAACCCCAACUUCUGAAUGUUGACCUCGGAUCAGGUAGGAAUACCCGCUGAACUUAAGCAUAUCAAUAAGCGG
rnacentral:rRNA from 1 species